GGCGGUAUAGCUCAGUGGUACAGCGCAUGUCUAGCAUAUACAAGGCCCUGGGUUCAAUCCCCAAUACCACCA
rfam:Ictidomys tridecemlineatus contig017586, whole genome shotgun sequence.